GGGCCGGUGGUCUAGUGGCCAUGACGCCGCCCUUACGAGGCGGAGGUCGUGGGUUCGAGUCCCACCCGGCCCACCA
rnacentral:tRNA from 1 species